AUUGUUGGAGCUUAAAAACCGGUUGGACAAACAUCUAUCAGGGAUUGUCUAGGUUGUCUUGGUCCUGCCUUAGUGCAGGGAUCUGGUCUAGAUGACCUCCCGAGGUCCCUUCCAGCCCUACAUUUGUAUGACAU